AAGUCGUAACAAGGUUUCCGUAGGUGAACCUGCGGAAGGAUCAUUAUAAAGUUUUUAUUUGCUUUUUUCCAAAGCAUCCACCCCACUUGUGCACAGACCGCAAUUGUUUUACCUUUUUGGCGAUGCUUUGAAAAUGUCUGAUAGACUUUUCAACCCGGAACUCUUGUGUCUGCUACUGGGUGAUUUAACACCUAGAUGGUCACCCGAGAGUUUUGGGAAAUGCUCGCCAAAAGGUUUUAUUUAAAAACAUUUUUUGUAUAAAUUUUGUCUGAACAUUUUUGAGUGGAAAGAGUUGUGCUAAGGUGUCUAUUGACCCUUUCACACCUUUCUCUUUUCGCCCAAACUUUUUAAGAAAAUAAAAUACAACUUUUAACAACGGAUCUCUUGGCUCUCC
rnacentral:misc_RNA from 1 species